rnacentral:rRNA from 1 species
GACAGAGGGUGCAAACGUUGUUCGGAAUUACUGGGCGUAAAGGGCGCGUAGGCGGCUUUGUAAGUCCGUUGUGAAAUCCCUCGGCUCAACCGAGGAACUGCGACGGAUACUGCUUGGCUUGAGUCCCGGAGAGGGUAGCGGAAUUCCCAGUGUAGCGGUGAAAUGCGUAGAGAUGUGGAGGAACACCGAUGGCGAAGGCAGCCCCCUGGGUCAAGAUUGACGCUCAUGCACGAAAGCGUGGGGAGCAAACAGG